GCACAGACUGUGCCAGCAGCCAUCUUUUAUAAUGGCUGCCUGUGCUUGAUGCUGACAACUCCCGCGACUCGUUCAUUAUACUGGAAAAUCUCCCUGUUUGGAACUGUGUUAGGAUGUGUCUGGAUGUCAUUCAGAUCCCAAGCAUAGACUUUGUUGAGUGUGUGUAAAAGCAGAUGUGUGAUAUUUACUUUUUCCUGAUUAACUCCCAUCGAUUUGCUACAAGUUUUAUUUGGAAUGAAUGUGUUUUUUAAAGUAUGAUUUUAUACAAAGUAUAUUCGUCAUAACGUUUGCUGUAAACUUGAAGAUACUUUUUUUCUUAAUAUGAUCAGCAACUUACAAAAUAUAUUGCAACUGCUUGUGUUCAGUUAAAGUGAUAUUAAGGUUUAUUUUGGAAAUUUGAAGAAAUUUUAUUCUACUACCUCUUUCUUCACUAUGAUCUGUUUUUGGCCUUGUUAUAAAUCUGUAACAUCUUCCAGACAUUUGGACUGCUUUUGUGUUUUGCUGUGUUUGCCUGCGCUAGAUUUACACCAUUUGCAUUUUUAUUCUGUGAAACAGACUAACAGUACAUGUAUUUUUUUUGUAUUUUUAAAAAUUUUAUAUCCGUCUGGUUAGGAUUCAUACAUGCAGCUUUUGAUUUAAAAUAGGCUUUAAUUUUGUAUCAGAUACAUUUAGUGAAUACAUAGAAAUGAAAGUAGUAAUUUGAUUAUCACUUACUGUGAUAACCAGUAAAAGAUUUGCUAUGU
rnacentral:misc_RNA from 1 species